rnacentral:lncRNA from 1 species
GCUUCUAAAAUCAAUUUUAAUCCAGAAAACAGCCUUAAGAAACAUCAGUCUGGCAGCUAUUGAUUGCCAUUUAGGGCAAGGAUGCUACAAACCAUUUAUAUCAAGACCAUGACUUAGUCAUGAGAAUCAGCUUAAACCCAGUUGUACUUUGUCUUUGAGAGUUAUCCAUGGAGUAGGAAACCACUAAAACCCCCAAAGAACCUCAAACAUUUGAAGUCAUGAGUUAUUCCCAUAGUAAGAUCAAAAGUUCAAACAUUUAGACAAAGAAACCAUUGAUGGUGAUAUAAAACAUGUCACACCAACUUAAGCA